rnacentral:rRNA from 1 species
UACGGGGGGGGGCAAGCGUUUGUUCGGAAUUACUGGGCGUAAAGGGUUCGUAGGUGGCCCGCUAAGUCACACGUGAAAUCCCUCAGCUUUAACUGGGGGAACUGCGUGUGAGACUGGCAGGCUUGAGUGCAGGAGAGGAACGCGGAAUUCCAGGUGUAGCGGUGAAAAUGCGUAGAUAUCUGGAGGAACACCGGUGGCGAAGGCGGCGUUCUGGACUGUAUCUGACACUGAGGAA